GGGGAAUAUUGCACAAUGGGCGAAAGCCUGAUGCAGCGACGCCGCGUGAGGGAUGAAGGCCUUCGGGUUGUAAACCUCUUUCAGUAGGGAAGAAGCGUAAGUGACGGUACCUGCAGAAAAAGCACCGGCUAACUGCGUGCCAGCAGCCGCGGUAAUACGUAGGGUGCAAGCGUUGUCCGGAAUUAUUGGGCGUAAAGAGCUCGUAGGCGGCUUGUCGCGUCUGCUGUGAAAACCCGGAGCUCAACUCCGGGCCUGCAGUGGGUACGGGCAGGCUAGAGUGCGGUAGGGGAGAUUGGAAUUCCUGGUGUAGCGGUGGAAUGCGCAGAUAUCAGGAGGAACACCGAUGGCGAAGGCAGAUCUCUGGGCCGCUACUGACGCUGAGGAGCGAAAGCAUGGGGAGCGAAC
rnacentral:rRNA from 1 species